rnacentral:tRNA from 4 species
CAAGACGUAGCUUUAAAAAAAGCAUUCAGCUUACACCUGAAAGAUAUCUGAUAAUACCAGAUCGUCUUGA